CAGAGAGAGAAAACGGAAAUUGUGGAGUUUAGAGAGAGAAAGUAGGAAAUGUGGAGAGAGUCUGUUAGGGUUUCUGGAAAUGGACUACCCUGAAUCUACCAUACCCUCCGCAGGGGACGCUACUGAAACUGUUCCCGUCCAAGUACAAGAACGGAACUCUAUACCUUUUCUAUAAAUAAAAUAUGUAAAAUUGGGGAAUUUUAUACCUUUUUUUUUCAUACGAUUUCGUUUGGGUUAAUUAAUUUUUUUUUAUGAAAUUUACACACAUGGACACAAAAUGUAUGCCAUUUAGAUGUGUAAAUUUAUAGCAUUUUUUUAGUUUUUACUUGACUUUAUGUGCAUAAAUUAAUUUUAAGCUGAUUUGCACUAUUUUGGUAAUGGGGUGAGGAUUUUAGUUGAAUUUUUAGAUGGGUAUUGUAAUUUUAUAUCUGUGUAAUGUGUUUUCCCUUUUGGUAAAUUUAGAUACUAUGUGGCACUGUACUCGGUCUCAUAUCAUUUAAUUUUUCGUUCUCCCAAGAAAUGCAUCUGGUUCAUGUUUUUGACAGUUAACUUAAACCAAUCUGCUCUAGCAUCUUAUCAUACUCUACUCAUCUAUACAGAAGCACAUAUGUUGCAUGGACCAUUCAUCGAUGCUUUGAAUUGUGAAGUAAGAUUAUCCUGUUAAAACAAUCUGUAAAAUUGAUGCCAAAUGUAAUUUGAAGCAUAAUUCUCUUAGGCAUUAUUUAAUCUUUGUGAACAAUGGUUUAAACUAUAUUGUUUGUUAUCGAUUUCUAUUAGAAGUGCUUAAUUUGAUUUGGAUUUUUUUUUUUUUUAAAGAAAAAGAAAUUCAACAUGUUGCAUCAAUUGUGCUGAGCUUUAGGUAGUUCGGAUUUUGACUUUCUUCAAUUUUGGUGCCAUAUGACACAUGCUAAAAAUGAUAGAAGGUACUCUGUUUAUUGAUGUCGAUAACAUUUUGGUCGCAGUCAUACAUGUCAAUGGAUCUUAAGAGCAUAUGUCAUAGUUAUAUGAUAAUAAACCAAUAUUUAGAGAGGAUGCACAUGUAUCUCCAAUUUAUAUGGAUAGAGAAGUUUGUUGAAUUAUAACCUUUAGCACUCACAUUAAUUGAAAAAAUUAUAAGCAUUUUUGCACAUAUAAAUCACAUACUAAGUUCUAGUAGAUUUUAUUUAAAUGGCAAGUAUAGAAAAUAAUUUUUGCUUGGAUUCUAGUGAAACAAUAUCUUGGAGUGAAGAAAGUAAUUUUUGCUUGGGUUCUAGGGAAACAAUAUCUUGGAAUUUUGAAAAUUGCUCUUUGUUAAAUCAGGUAUUAAACAUUACUAGAAAUUUUAACUCACAAGGUUUGUACAAAUUUAUUAGGCUGCUCAACACCAUGGCUUGCAUGUACGUAGUCUCCAGUUUGAAGAUGCUCAGCAGAAAGUAGUAACAAAUAGGCAUGUACAAAACACUUCAGGUAUUGAAAAUAGUUCUAGGCCACUUGCCUCUUCUGCAGAUAGAGGGGGCCCCAAAUCACUAUCCUUGGAGACACCAUCAACUCCCAUUCGUCGGGUUGGUAUGACCCAGCAUACGGAUUAUCCUGGAAAUAGUGGGAAUUAUAGCAUAAAUUUUCCAAAGCCCGUAGGUAUUGGCUUGCACCUAAAUAGCAUUGUCAGCACUACGCAAGCAGGAACUGGAGAAACUGUAAUUGUGAAAUCAUCUGAAAAGGGUAUUUUAAGUAUACGGAAUGAGCAACAAGUGACUACUCUGAGCUCUCAUCUAUCUGAAAACUCAAAGAACUCUUCAUAUUUGUCUGUGUUGGAGAGUGUUCUCGGAAGUCCUGAUGAAAGUAGGCGUGAAAGUGAUCAUGCCUUGGUGGCAGCUAAUUCUGCUAUUUCUGUGUCCACUUAUGACGCAAAACCUUUGGACAACCCUAUGGUCUGUAAUCCAAUUGAGGAUCAAUCAACUCCAGUUAACAAGAGGAAGUCUAACGCUGGAAAUGCUGAUGAUGCAGAGGAGUUUAACAAGUCAAGCCCCAAAAGGAAGAGGCAAGCCUACAACUUAUCUUAUGAAUAAUGAGUUUUAUUAGUUGUCUCCAUUUUUACUACAUUAUUUUAGCUGCAAUUUUUCCAGGAAGAAAACACCCGAGUCCAAUGAUGAUUACAGUAGCAAACUUUGCAACUGCAAGAAGUCUAAAUGCUUGAAGCUGUAAGCGCAUAAAAUGUUUUCUUACAAAUUUAGAUUUACACUUCUAUCACGUGCUUUUGUAAUUUGUUUCCUUGUAGUUACUGUGAUUGCUUUGCUGCUGGAAUAUAUUGUGCGGAACCUUGUUCUUGCCAAGGGUGCUAUAACAGGCCUGAAUAUGAGGAUACGGUUCUAGAGACACGCCAACAAAUUGAAUCUCGCAAUCCUCUGGCAUUUGCUCCAAAGAUAGUACAGAACUUCAUUUAUCCAUCUUCAAGCAUUUGUGGGGUAUUGAGGCAUCGAAAUUUAUAAUUUUGCUGUACAACAGUGCAAUGUUAACUGAAUUAUUAAGUUGAAAUGUUCACAGGAAGAUGAGACUCAGUUAUCAAAGCCCUCCAUAAGGCACAAAAGAGGGUGCAAUUGCAAGAAGUCGAUGUGCCUCAAAAAGUACUGUGAGUGCUAUCAGGUACGUGGGUGUGCUUAUGGGCAUGA
rnacentral:lncRNA from 1 species